rnacentral:rRNA from 1 species
GACGAACGCUGGCGGCGUGCCUAAUACAUGCAAGUCGAGCGGACCAAAGGGAGCUUGCUCCUGGAGGUUAGCGGCGAACGGGUGAGUAACACGUGGGCAACCUGCCUGUAAGACUGGGAUAACAUCGAGAAAUCGGUGCUAAUACCGGAUAAUAAAAGAACUGCAUGGUUCUUUUUGAAAGAUGGUUUCGGCUAUCACUUACAGAUGGGCCGCGGCGCAUUAGCUAGUUGGUGAGGUAACGGCUCACCAAGGCAACGAUGCGUAGCCGACCUGAGAGGGUGAUCGGCCACACUGGGACUGAGACACGGCCCAGACUCCUACGGGAGGCAGCAGUAGGGAAUCUUCCGCAAUGGACGAAAGUCUGACGGAGCAACGCCGCGUGAGUGAUGAAGGUUUUCGGAUCGUAAAACUCUGUUGUUAGGGAAGAACAAGUGCCGUUCGAAAGGGCGGCACCUUGACGGUACCUAACGAGAAAGCCACGGCUUAACUACGUGCCAGCAGCCGCGGUAA